rnacentral:rRNA from 1 species
UACAGAGGUCUCAAGCGUUGUUCGGAUUCAUUGGGCGUAAAGGGUGUGUAGGUGGCGCCGUAAGUCGGGCGUGAAAUCCCACGGCUCAACCGUGGAAGUGCACUCGAAACUGCAGAGCUAGAGUCCUGGAGAGGAAGGUGGAAUGCUUGGUGUAGAGGUGAAAUUCGUAGAUAUCAAGCGGAACACCGGUGGCGAAGGCGGCCUUCUGGACAGUGACUGACGCUGAGACGCGAAAGCGUGGGGAGCAAACAGG